AUGAACGCUGGCGGCAUGACUAAGGCAUGCAAGUCGAAAGGGUUUAGACCCUUGGCAAACGGGUGCGUAACACAUUGGUAAUCUACCCCGAAGACGCGAAUAACCCUUCGAAAGGAGGGCUAAUACGCGAUAAUGAGGCGAGACAUAUGUCUCUCCUUUAAAGAUUUAUCGCUUCGGGAGGAGCCUAUGGCCUAUCAGCUAGUUGGAGGUGUAAGAGGCCCCCAAGGCUAUGACGGGUAGCGGGUGUGAGAGCACGACCCGCCUCACUGGGACUGAGACACGGCCCAGACACCUACGGGUGGCUGCAGUCAUGAAUAUUCGGCAAUGGGCGAAAGCCUGACCGAGCAAUGCCGCGUGCAGGAAGAAGUCCCUCGGGAUGUAAACUGCUUUUACUAGGGAAGAACAAAUGACGGUACCUAGAGAAUAAGAGGUUGCAAACUCUGU
rnacentral:rRNA from 1 species